rnacentral:lncRNA from 1 species
AUGACAACCACCCUUUGUAUAAGCAUGGGAAGUCUGGCAGGAAACAAUCACCUGUCCGACUCUUCACAAACCUCUGUCCCAAAGACAUUAUUCUACCAAAGGAGGAAGGCUACAGAUUUUGCGCUAUUUGUGAGAGAUACGUUUCAGCAGGGAAUAAACACUGCUCUGUGUGUAACGCCUGCACAUCAAAGCUUACAGCAUCAGCAGCAGAAGAAGAAGAAGAAGAGUAAGAGUGGUAAAGCAGCUCCAGGAACGUUAAACAAGAGCGGCAACAAAACCACAGGCAAACACAAGAGAGGCAAACACUCACGCGGGAAGAAGUAACCGGUCACGUGAUUCCUCUCUCACGCAGCGCUGCAGAGGUGUGACACUGUGCUGGUGAGGGUGAGGCUGAAACUCGAGUCAUUUAUCCUGGAUCUGCUGGAGUUCUGCAGCUUUAGCAGGGCUGAAACAUCAAACUUCUGUAGUGAAGUUCCAGUAAAGUAUUGAGAAAACUGACUGGUUAUGUUGAAUUAUUGAAAUUCUCGGUAAAAAAGUAUUAAAAAUAAAAUAUCACACAUUUAUAAAACA